rnacentral:rRNA from 1 species
AUUGAACGCUGGCGGCAGGCCUAACACAUGCGAGUCGAACGGUAACAGGAAGAAGCUUGCUUCUUUGCUGAAGCGUGGCGGACGGGUGGGUAAUGUCUGGGACACUGCUUGAUGGCGGGGGAUAACUACUGGAACCGGUAGUUAAUACCGCAUAACGUCGCAAGCCCAUAGUGGGGGACUUUCGGGCCUCUUGCCAUUGGCUGUGCCCGGGCGGGAUUCGCCAGUAGGUAGGGUAAAGGCUUACCUAGGCAACGAUGGAUAGCUGAUAUGAGAGGGUGAAAGGGGAAACUGGAAGUGAGACAGGGUACAGACUCAUACGGGAGGCAGCAGUAGGGAAUCUUAAGCAAUGGGCGAAAGCGUGAAGGAGCAACGCAGCGUGAGUGAUGAAGGUCUUCGGAUCGUAAAACUCUGUUAUUAGGGAAGAACAUAUGUGUAAGUAAAUGUGCACAUCUUGACGGUACCUAAUAAGAAAGCAACGGCUAACUACGUG